CCUACGGGGGGCAGCAGUAACGAAUCUUCCGCAAUGCACGCAAGUGUGACGGAGCGACGCCGCGUGGAGGUUAAGUCCUUCGGGAUGUAAACUCCUGUCAGGGGUUACCAAGAUCUGAGGAGCCCCAGAGGAAGGCACGGCUAACUCUGUGCCAGCAGCCGCGGUAAUACAGAGGUGCCAAGCGUUAGGCGGAAUCACUGGGCUUAAAGCGCGUGUAGGUGGACGGGUAAGUAUCUUGUGAAAUCCCACGGCUCAACCGUGGAACUGCUGGAUAUACUGCUUGUCUUGAGGCACUUAGGGGCAGCUGGAACAAAUGGUGGAGCGGUGAAAUGCGUAGAUAUCAUUUGGAACGCCAAAGGCGAAAGCAGGCUGCUGGGAGUGAUCUGACACUGAGACGCGAAAGCCAGGGGAGCAAACGGGAUUAGAUACCCUGGUAGUC
rnacentral:misc_RNA from 1 species